UCAAUUUAUUAUUACUUGAAAAGGGAAACAAAUCGCACUAUGUUUUAAUAAAAAAUUUGUCACGUCUUGUUCGUACUCAAAUAACAAAGCAUCAUGGCACGAUAUACUUUUGUGAUGAUUGUAUGCUGUUUUUUUCGUCUGAAGAGAAACUUAAUAGUCACACUUGUUGCGGUGUGACUACCGUGCUUCCGGAACAUGGUAGUUGUCUUCAUUUUAAAAAUUUUAAUCGGAAACAGGAUGUUCCUUUUGUGGUGUACGCCGACUUUGAAACUCUACUUAAACCAAUAACGACUUGUGAGCCUGAUCCAAAUUGUAGUUUUACGUUAAAUCGUACACAACACAUUCCAGCAGCUUUUGCUUAUCGCAUUGUUUGCUCAUUUGAUAGCAAACAUAAUCGAUUCAUUUCGUACCGCGGUCGCGACUGUGUUCAAAAAUUUCUCAAAUGUCUGUAUAGAGACGUAGAAAAAAUUUAUGAAAUUUUAAACGUUGAAGUGCCAAUGGUGUUUAACGAAAGUGAUGCCAAAAUGCAUGCCAAAGCUGACGUGUGUCAUAUUUGCAAUAGUCUCCUGCUAUUUGACAAAGUAAGAGACCAUUGUCACUUGACAGGCUGCUACCGAGGUGCUGCUCACCAGUACUGCAAUUUACAGUACAGUCUCCCAAAACUAGUUCCUAUUUUUUUUCAUAAUUUAGCAGGCUAUGAUUGUCAUUUAUUCAUUAAGGAAUUGGCUGAUAGUUUGGGUCCUAUUAAAGUAAUACCUAAGAAUAAAGAAAACUAUAUUUCAUUCACAAAAUUUUUAAAAAUGUCUGAUGGGAAAUUUGCUCAAUUAAGAUUUGUAGACUCGUUUAAAUUUCUAGGCACAAGCUUAGAAAAAUUAGCAAACGGUUUAGACAAAGCAGAUUUCAUUCACUUAAAACAAUGUUUUGCUAAAGAAAACGAAUUUAAAUUAAUGACUCGCAAAGGUAUUUAUCCCUACGACCACAUGAAAUCUUGGAGAUCGUUCUCUGAGAGACAACUUCCUCCCAAAGAAAGCUUCUAUAAUACUUUAACUGACGAAGGUAUCAGCGAUGAAGAUUACAUGCAUGCACAAGUGAUUUGGGAUACUUUUAACAUAAGCAAUAUGGGAGAAUAUACAGAUCUUUAUCUCAAAACCGACGUCUAUUUACUAACAGACGUCUUUGAAAAUUUUAGAGCGGUUUGUAAAAAGCAAUAUCACUUAGAUCCUGCUUUUUACUUAACAGCUCCGAGCUUAUCAUUUGACGCAAUGUUGCUGAAAACAGGAGUAGAGUUAGAGUUAUUGUCUGACUUAGAAAUUAUACGUCUCAUACAGAAAGGAAUACGGGGUGGAAUUUGUUUAUGUUCUACUAGACAUGCUCAGGCGAAUAAUAUUUACAUGGAUAAUUAUGAUGAAACUAAAACGGAUUCAUUUCUCAUAUAUAUCGACUGUAAUAAUCUUUAUGGUUAUAGUAUGUGCCAGUCUUUGCCAGUAUCCCAUUUCAGAUUUUUGAAACAGCACGAAAUUGAUCAAUUACAAAUUAUGAACGUGCGCGACGAUGCGGAUUUUGGGUUUAUUCUUGAAGUUGAUUUAUUAUAUCCGGAAGAAUUGCAUUGUAUUCACAACGAUUAUCCAUUUUGCGCGGAGAAAUUCAUACCUCCGGGAGGUAAAACUUCUAAAUUAGUACCAAACUUAUAUUCAAAAUACCAAUAUGUGAUUCACUACGUUCAUUUAAAGACUUGUUUAAACCAUGGUCUAAUUUUACAAAAAAUUCAUCGAGUUGUGACUUUUAAACAAAGCAAAUUUUUAGCGCAAUAUAUAAAUCUUAACACAGAACUGAGAAAGAAAGCAGUAACACCAUUCCAACAAGAUUUAUUCAAACUUAUGAAUAAUUCUGUUUUUGGGAAAACAUUAGAAGACACUGAACGUAGAGUAGACAUCAAAUUAGUGAAUCAGUGGCAGGACGAUACCAAUCGAACAAACCGGUCUCUCUCUGCUGCAAAGUUAAUUUCUCGACCAAACUUCCAUAGCGCCACCAUUUUCUCCGAAAACUUAGUGGCUAUUCAAAUGAAACCGGAAAGAAUUAUAUUAGAUAAACCAAUUUACAUUGGCUUUGCCGUUUUAGAACUUUCUAAAAGUCACAUGUACCAGUUUCAUUACUCUGUAAUAAAGCCUCACUACGGAGAUAGAGUACGACUAUGCUAUACAGACACCGAUAGCUUUAUCUACCAAAUAGAAACAAAUGAUUUUUACGUAGAUAUAAAGCAACAUUUCUUACAAUAUUUCGAUACCAGUAAUUACGCUCUGAAAAAUCAGUAUGACCUUCCGAUUCGAAACAAAAAAGUACCUGGUCUAUUCAAAGACGAACUUGGCGGAUGUAUAAUGACUGAAUUUGUAGGGUUGAGAUCAAAGUUGUAUUGCAUUAAAACUGAUUCUAAUGUCAUUAAAAAGGCAAAAGGAAUAAGAAAAAAUGUUAUUAAGCACUUGGAGGCAUCUGAUUAUAGUAACGCAUUACUAAACGAUAAAAUAGUGCGUAGGAAAAAUAUUCUCUUUAAAUGUAUUAAGCAUAAUAUUUUUACACAGACUGUUAAUAAGAUUGCUUUGUCAAAUGCGGAUGACAAACGUUUUAUAUUGCAAGACAAAAUAUCCACAAUGGCAUGGGGGCAUAGCUCUUUGUUGUAAUAAAUAACUUUAAGCUGAAAUAAAUAUUAAAUAUAAAUAAUUUUUAUGUAAAAUAGGUACGUUAGUUUUAGACUUUAUUGUUAAAUUUAAUAUUAUAUUGCAUUUUCUGUUAGCAUUACUUUUUACUUACUUAUAAAAAUAAAUCAUUUUCAGAAUAUUUUUUUUUGGUUUUCUUACAAAAUUCCUUACCUGCUAAAUUAAAUUGAUAUUUUGUUUUUUUAUUUAUAAAAUUCAAGCAAAAGAAACAUUCGACAAUACUGAUUGUCAUGUUUAUGUACACGUGCUGAGUAUUAUGUAGGUCGUCAGUGACGACGAUAUUAAUUAUAAACUCAGCAAAAUGUGAUUGAUUCCUCAACUCGGUUAUUUUCUUACCAUUCACACUUUGUCUCUGACGAACGUUGUACUACAGUGCGAUUGCUUCUAUUCUUAUAAUGGCUCAAUCUCCUGACAUCAUGUUAUCCCAGUACGCUCAAGAUCCGCUGGAGGGAUUUACGCAAGAAUUUCCGGAGCUGUGUUCCAGACUCCACGCGCACGCUGUUCAAAGACAAGUGAAAAAGCCUAAGAAUAAAAAAGGUGUUUCAAAAAGAAGACUAGGACCGACGAAAUCCUAUGUGAUAACGAAAAAUCAGAAAGGAAAGAGGCUCAUCAAAAUAGAAGUUAUUGAUAUUGUGAGUGAUAUGGGAUCGGCUUCAUCCUCAGAAAUCACCGACCAAGAGGAUAAUGUGCUGAUCAGCGCACAAUACGUGGUCCAGGAUUCAUACGACGAAAUCAUGGACCUCACUGACAAUCUUGUUCAAAAAAUAUCGAAAAAACUUUGUGGUGAUAACUUUUAGUGUUUUUUAAGUGUAUAGUUUUAAUGUAAGUAUUAAGUUUUUAUUAAAGUGUAACGCAAACUUGUAAAUUAAUAUGUAAUUAUAAGAAUAGAAGCAAUCACACUGUAGUACAUUAACCGAAAAUUAUCAGUCUUUUUGUACUUAUUAUAUUAACUUAAUCAGGCAAUAAUUUUAUUUUCUUUCUUUUUUUCUUUUGGUGACGAUAAAAUUAAGAUUUCAUGUGUUUUUAUUACAAGUGUUUUUGAAAAUAUAGUCUUACAGUAACAA